rnacentral:ncRNA from 1 species
GGGGAGUCUUAGGCCCCCAAGGUUCGGCAUGUUAAUAGUGGUACUUUUGGCCAGGUGCCAUGGUUAGUGAAU